CAAGGGUGCACGCAGCUUCCCUAACCUCACCUGUCUAGCGCAAAGCAUUACUUGGAACCAGAUAAGAACUCGAGGAGCCAAGAAGGAAGACCGAGUCCACCACAGCAGAGACGGAAAACAGAUUAGCGGGGAAGGAGAGGCACGCGGAGGGACAGACACACAGUGCGUGCCACAGGGGACGGCGGGGCGCUGUCCCUUCCAUGCAGCUGGGGUCCAUCCCGCAGAAACUCCAUGAGGGUCAGCGUGGCCCCAGAUGGUAAAGCGCCAGAAUGCGGGAACAUAAAAGACUUAGGAAGUCAACAUCCUCACCACUUCCCUUGCAAAAUCUCCCUAGGAAGUCGCGGGCCACGGACUCAGAGAAUCCUGGUCUGAUGGCUAGGAGGUGGAAGACCUCUUAACUGGGCACCAGGAGACCAGCAACCCAAGGAGAUGCAGCCUCACGAAGGAGGGAUGGUAUGGCUGCUGGCCUUGAGGAGCCAAGAACAGCCGUGGAAAAUCUCAUCUGCUUCCUUUAUCAUGAUGAGCACAGAGCAGUGCACACAAUGGUUGAAUCACCACAGUGCACGUCUGAAACUAAUAUAACACCACA